rnacentral:rRNA from 1 species
GAUGAACGCUGGCGGCGUGCUUAACACAUGCAAGUCGAACGAUGAAGCCCAGCUUGCUGGGUGGAUUAGUGGCGAACGGGUGAGUAACACGUGAGUAACCUGCCCUUAACUCUGGGAUAAGCCUGGGAAACUGGGUCUAAUACCUGAUAGGAGCGUCCACCGCAUGGUGGGUGUUGGAAAGAUUUAUCGGUUUUGGAUGGACUCGCGGCCUAUCAGCUUGUUGGUGAGGGAAUGGCUCACAAAGGCGACGCCGGGUAGCCGGCCUGAGAGGGUGACAGGCCACACUGGGACUGAGACACGGCCCAGACUCCUACGGGAGGCAGCAGUGGGAAAUAUUGCACAAUGGGCGCAAGCCUGAUGCAGAGACGCCGCGUGAGGGAUGACGGCCUUCGGGUUGUAAACCUCUUUCAGUAGGGAAGAAGCGAAAGUGACGGUACCUGCAGAAGAAGCACCGGCUAACUACGUG